rnacentral:rRNA from 1 species
UACAGAGGUCUCAAGCGUUGUUCGGAUUUAUUGGGCGUAAAGGGCGCGUAGGCGGCGCGGUAAGUCGGGUGUGAAAUUUCGAGGCUUAACUUCGAAACUGCAUUCGAUACUGCCGUGCUUGAGGACUGGAGAGGAGACUGGAAUUUACGGUGUAGCGGUGAAAUGCGUAGAUAUCGUAAGGAAGACCAGUGGCGAAGGCGGGUCUCUGGACAGUUCCUGACGCUGAGGCACGAAGGCCAGGGGAGCAAACGGG